rnacentral:rRNA from 1 species
UGGGGAAUUUUGGACAAUGGGGGAAACCCUGAUCCAGCCAUCCCGCGUGUGCGAUGAAGGCCUUCGGGUUGUAAAGCACUUUUGGCAGGAAAGAAACGUCAUGGGUUAAUACCCCGUGAAACUGACGGUACCUGCAGAAUAAGCACCGGCUAACUACGUGCCAGCAGCCGCGGUAAUACGUAGGGUGCAAGCGUUAAUCGGAAUUACUGGGCGUAAAGCGUGCGCAGGCGGUUCGGAAAGAAAGAUGUGAAAUCCCAGAGCACAACUUUGGAACUGCAUUUUUAACUACCGGGCUAGAGUGUGUCAGAGGGAGGUGGAAUUCCGCGUGUAGCAGUGAAAUGCGUAGAUAUGCGGAGGAACACCGAUGGCGAAGGCAGCCUCCUGGGAUAACACUGACGCUCAUGCACGAAAGCGUGGGGAGCAAACAGG